UGAGUAACGCGUGAGAAUCUGCCCUCAGGGAGGGGGAUAACGGCUGGAAACGGCCGCUAAUACCCCAUAUGCCGAGAGGUGAAAUGAAUUUCGCCUGAGGAUGAGCUCGCGUCUGAUUAGCUUGUUGGUGGGUAAUGGCCUACCAAGGCGACGAUCAGUAGCUGGUCUGAGAGGAUGAUCAGCCACACGUGGGACUGGGACACGGCCCGACGACUCCUUACCGGGAGGGCGAGCAGUGGGGGAAUUUUUCCGCAAUGGGCGAAAGCCUGACGGAGCAACGCCGCGUGAGGGAUGAAGGCCUCUGGGCUGUAAACCUCUUUUAUCAAGGAAGAAGAUCUGACGGUACUUGAUGAAUAAGCCACGGCUAAUUCCGUG
rnacentral:rRNA from 1 species